GUCGUCCGCCUGAAGCCCGCCUGGAGCCUGUCUGCCUACCCAACCAGAGUACCCGGUGCUGCUGUCGAUCCAGCGCCCUUACUGCAAUAAAGGAAAAAGGUGAAGUAGAUUAAUAACACCAUGGUUCCAAGAAACAUAAGGUCAUCAGGAAACAAGCAGAGGUCAACGACAUCUAUAAAUGAAAAAGAACUAGGUGAAGGUGACAACACCAAUGUGAAUGCAAGUGAGAACGUAGAAGCUAAUAAAGAAGCAAGUGGUGCAGCUAAUGAUGUGACUGAAUCUCAUACCCCAAUAGGAGAAACUUCAUCCACCAAACUCAGGCGUACAAAGAAGAGAACUUCAGGAGUUUGGGAUCACUACAAUGAUAUAUUUGUUGAAGAACAUGGUUGUCAAGAAGCCAAUGGCAGCAUGCAAGUAUUGUACAGAUGUUCUUUGCGCUGCAAGCAAGCAAGGUACCACACGCCUUUGGAACCACUAUUAUUCAUAUCAUGAUGAAAACAAGGUGAAACCUAGCAUAAGGAAACUGAGUUCAGAUGAUUUGAUUUAUAAUGAGGAGGCUAGUGUUAGAAAAUACUAUCUUGCAAUUAUUAUGCACGAGUAUCCAAUCAACUUUUGUGAGCAUGAGUAUACAAAUGACUUCAUUAGAUCUUUGCGUCCAAAUUAUCCAUUAAUGGGUCGCAAGGGCAGUAGGACCAAGAUCAUGGAUAUCUUUUACAA